rnacentral:rRNA from 1 species
ACGGAAGGCAGCAGUGGGGAAUAUUGCACAAUGGGGGAAACCCUGAUGCAGCGACGCCGCGUGAGUGAAGAAGUAUUUCGGUAUAUAAAGCUCUAUCAGCAGGAAAGAAAAUGACGGUACCUGACUAAGAAGCCCCGGCUAACUACGUGCCAGCAGCCGCGGUAAUACGUAGGGGGCAAGCGUUAUCCGGAUUUACUGGGUGUAAAGGGAGCGUAGACGGCUUUGCAAGUCUGAAGUGAAAGCCCGGGGCUCAACCCCGGAACUGCUUUGGAAACUGUAGAGCUAGAGUGCAGGAGAGGUAAGUGGAAUUCCUAGUGUAGCGGUGAAAUGCGUAGAUAUUAGGAGGAACACCAGUGGCGAAGGCGGCUUACUGGACUGUAACUGACGUUGAGGCUCGAAGGCGUGGGGAGCAAACAGGAUUAGAUACCCUGGUA